ensembl:snRNA U2 U2 spliceosomal RNA
AUCGCUUCUCGGCCUUUUGGCUAAGAUCAAGUGUAGUAUCUGUUCUUAUCAGUUUAAUAUCUGAUACGUCCCCUACCCGGGGACCAUAUAUUAAAUUGAUUUUUGGAGCAGGGAGAUGGAAUUAGGGGCUUGCUCCGUCCACUCCACGCAUCGACUGGGUAUUGCAGUACUUCCUGGAACGGUGCAUCCACC